UUUGAAGUUUGGCCAGGCAUUGUGGCUUACGCCUGUAAUCCCAGCACUUUGGGAGGCCGAGGCAGGUGGAUCACUUGAGGUCAGGAGUUCAAAAACCAGCCUGGCCAACAUGGUGAAACCCCAUCUCUACUAAACAUACAAAAAAUUAGCAGGGUGUGGUGGCAUGUGCCUGUAAUCCCAGCUACUUGAGAGGCUGAGGCAUGAGAAUCUCUUGAACCUGGGGAGGUGGAGGUUGCAGUGAGCCAAGAUCUGUCCAUAAAACCAGUGGGUUCUUUCUCUAAAGUCUUGAAAUCCAUCCAUUCUCCAUUUCUACCACCUUCACAGAUGACCGUUCUCACCAUGGAACAAGGCUUGUAAAAGCUGCAGAAAAAAAAAAAAAAACCUCAAAUACCUCGUGAAUGAAUGGCCAUCAUUGUGGGGUGCUACUGUCUCCACAUUAUAGAUUUGGAAACUGAGGCUUAGAAAUAUUCACUAUUGGCUAGACGCGGUGGCUUACGCCUGUAAUUCCAGCACUUUGGGAGGCUGAGGCGGGCGGAUCACGAGGUCAGGAGAUCGAGACCAUCCUCACCAACACGGUGAAACCCCGUCUCUACUAAAAAUACAAAAAUUAGUCGGGUGUGGUGGCGGGCGCCUGUAGUCCCAGGUACUCCGCAGGCUGAGGCAGGAGAAUCGCUUGAACCCGGGAGGCGGAGGUUGCAGCGAGCUGAGAUCACGCCAUUGCACUCC
rnacentral:lncRNA from 1 species